GCAAAAGAAAACCGGUUUCUCUUUAUAAGAAACAGUUUCGGAAAUUAUUCAUAAAAUAAACGUGACUGUAUAAUUAUAUAAGGCGUUGUUUUUUGGCAAGAAAUUAUCUGUUUUCUACAGCAACGAAAAUGAACAAGUCGAUGUUUCUUCUCAUGCUUGUCCUCGGACUUCUUGUUCUCUCUGAAACCACGAAUGCGUUCGGUCGCCGUCGUCGUGUGCCGGGUCGUCGUCGCCGAUGGUGGAACGAAAGGGCAAUGAAUGAAAUUGAAGAUAUAGAAUCUUCUGAACAACAAGAAGAAGACGACGGGCAUUGGUAUGAACAAUAAGUGUUCAUUAUUAUAAUUAAAUUCAACCGAUGUUAAUAAAUUUACCUCUAAAAGAG